AAUGGUGUCCAAGCUGGACGAAGCCCUGGCCAGCACUCAUAACGCACCCAGCUCUCGUCGUCUCCUACUGGCCGACGAUACUCGUCCAGCUCCACCGCUUUUUUAACAGUCCCGUGUUGGCUGACGAAUCUCUGCUGCACUGGAGUAGCUGAAAACAACUACCACCACCAGCUCAAGGGCUAAAGUAGUUUUGUCUCCUCCUGGAGUUAAUGGGUUUUCUCGGAAUGGAACCUCACAGGCGGAAUGCGAGCCUCGGGUGCAACACGGGAGGUGGUAGAGAAAAGCUUGACGCACUCUGGAAUUAGAGGGAUCUUUUUCGCUCUUAUUCCAGCAUCGGAUGUCUUGAACAACGGGAUUGACUGUUAAAUCCUUGCAGGACCUUUGUCAAUGUGUAGAGCAUCUUACUGCUGGCGACUACAGCUCACUGCAUAUCCGAGUCGUUGGGAUUUGCUUACGAGCACUCAAGAAUCUUGUGACUAUUUUGAGGACGUCGAUUUUUGGGUUAUUCUCUUAUCAAUCCAAGCAGCCAGAGAGAUUAAGCAGCAAUGAAUGGUUCAUAGAGGAUGAUGUGUGGAACUAGUGCCAUUGGUCAAAUGAUAGUUGUUGAGGUAAAUUUGAAAGACUGGAUUUCUCACGAGUUUGAUGCAGCACUAAUUAUCACUUUUCAGUGUUGUUGGCGAUGUUUGAUGAAAUUUCAGUAGUCUCCGCAAGUGGACUAUAUCACGGGCAGCUUCAAUGCGCAUGUGGUAUUCUAUCUUAGUCGUAGAAAGAGCUAUAGUGGUUUGACUCACUUCGGUACUUAGUGUUUAAAAUCAUACUUAUUGUAUUUAAAAUCACAGAUUUUGUUAGUUAGUAGUAGAAUUUUUAGGAGGAUUAGAGAAUACAUUGCCAAUAGCAGACGUACAACCCAGGAUAAAGUUUAGUAAGAAAAAUUCUACAAAAAAUAUGUUAUUUACUUAGCUAAUGUUAGAUGAAAGAUAAAAAAGUAGCCUUUGUAUCAAAAGGAAAAGAAAAGUUUAUUCAUUAAUA